GACGAACGCUGGCGGCGUGCUUAACACAUGCAAGUCGAACGGAAAGGCCCUGCUUUUGUGGGGUGCUCGAGUGGCGAACGGGUGAGUAACACGUGAGUAACCUGCCCUUGACUUUGGGAUAACUUCAGGAAACUGGGGCUAAUACCGGAUAGGAGCUCCUGCUGCAUGGUGGGGGUUGGAAAGUUUCGGCGGUUGGGGAUGGACUCGCGGCUUAUCAGCUUGUUGGUGGGGUAGUGGCUUACCAAGGCUUUGACGGGUAGCCGGCCUGAGAGGGUGACCGGGCACAUUGGGACUGAGAUACGGGCCAGACCCCUACGGGAGGCAGCAGUGGGGAAUAUUGCACAAUGGGCGGAAGCCUGAUGCAGCAACGCCGCGUGCGGGAUGACGGCCUUCGGGUUGUAAACCGCUUUCGCCUGUGACGAAGCGUGAGUGACGGUAAUGGGUGAAGAAGCACCGGCUAACUACGUG
rnacentral:rRNA from 1 species